AUAUUUUGAAAAGUAAAAUUAGCUUAAAAUGUUAAUUGGGUGUAUCAAAUGGGUAAAUCAAUAUAAGGAUAAGGAGUUUGAGUAAAGGGUAUUGAAAGAAUUAUAAUAGCUAUAACAUGGUACCGUAAGGGAAGAUUGAAAUAUUUGAAAAAUAAUUUAGUAAAAAGUAGACUUGGUGUUGUACCUUUUGUAUCAGGGUUUAAUAAUUAAUUUAAGGGAUCUUAAAAUCUCGAUGUGAGGAGAGCUAUAAAUCUAGAAUAGUUUAGGUAGCAAACUAAUUGUACAUAGAGUUAUAGGAAUGAAAUAUUAGCCGGUCCUCAAGGUAUCUAGUUUCUUAAGAAAUGAAUUUAAUUCAGGGAUUUCAAGAAGUUAGAGUCUUACUCUUUAACUUUUUAUAGGUCCUAAUAUUGAGGGGGAUAAGCUCCACAGUAUAGUUAAAACUAAGACAGAAAGAAAACCCGUAGGCUUGAAAGUAGCCAUCAGUUUAAGGGUGUUAUAAUUUAUUUUCUAAGGAUUUAAUUUUAUGGGGUUUAAAGAAGGUAUUAAGAAUUAAUCUUGAAUAAAGAAAGAUUAGGUAUAAUGUUAAAAUGAGUAUAGAAUAUGAAUAGGGUAUAAAGUCUCAAGAAGGAACUCGGCAAAUAUAAUGCUCGCCUGUUUAUCAAAAACACCGCCUUUUGAAUAUGUAGAAGGUCUAGCCUGCCCACUGAAAUAAUUAAAGGGCCGCGGUAUAUUGACCGUGCAAAGGUAGCAUAAUCAUUAGUCUUCUAAUUAAAGGCUGGAAUGAAUGGUUGGACGAGGUAUUAGCUGUCUCCUUGGGAUUAACUAAAAUUUAACUUUUUAGUCAAAAGGCUGAAAUGUUGUUGGAGGACGAGAAGACCCUAUAGAUCUUUAUAUUUAAAUUAUUAAGUCACUUUAGAUGGGCUAAGAUUUGAUAAGGAAAAUAUUUUGUUGGGGUGACAGGAAGAUAAGAGAAACUAUUUUUAAAAGAGACCAUUGAUGUAUGAUUGAAUGAUCCGUAAUAACGAUUAAAAGACUAAGUUACCUUAGGGAUAACAGCGUAAUCUUUUUUGAGAGUUCUAAUCGACAAAAAGGGUUGCGACCUCGAUGUUGGACUAAGGGUUAUUCUUGGGUGUAGAAGUUCAAGGUUUAGGUCUGUUCGACCUUUGAAUCCUUACAUGAUCUGAGUUCAGACCGGCGUAAGCCAGGUUGGUUUCUAUCCUCAAUUUUUAAUAAUAUUUUAGUACGAAAGGACCAAAUAUUAGGGAAAUUCUUUAUAAUCUGAAUAUCAAUA
rnacentral:rRNA from 1 species